rnacentral:rRNA from 1 species
UACGUAGGGUGCGAGCGUUAAUCGGAAUACUGGGCGUAAAGCGUGCGCAGGCGGUGAUGUAAGACCGAUGUGAAAUCCCCGGGCUCAACCUGGGAACUGCAUCUGUGACUGCAUCGCUGGAGUGCGGCAGAGGGGGAUGGAAUUCCGCGUGUAGCAGUGAAAUGCGUAGAUAUGCGGAGGAACACCGAUGGCGAAGGCAAUCCCUGGGCCUGCACUGACGCUCAUGCACGAAGCGUGGGGAGCAAACAGG